rnacentral:rRNA from 1 species
CGCGUAGGCGGUGCGGUAAGUCACCUGUGAAACCUCUGGGCUCAACUCAGAGCCUGCAGGCGAAACUGCCGUGCUGGAGUGUGGGAGAGGUGCGUGGAAUUCCCGGUGUAGCGGUGAAAUGCGCAGAUAUCGGGAAGAACACCCGUGGCGAAGGCGGUUCUCUGGGACGGUACUGACGCUGAGACGCGAAAGCGUGGGGAGCGAACA